GAUGAACGCUGGCGGCGUGCCUAAUACAUGCAAGUCGAGCGAACGGGCGAGGAGCUUGCUUCUCUGAUGUUAGCGGCGGGCGGGUGAGUAACGCGUGUAUCACCUACCUAUAAGACUGGGAUCACUUCGGGAAAGCGGAGCUAAUACCGGAUGAUAUUUUGAACCGCGUGGGUCAAUAGAGAAAGACGGUCUUUGUGUCUCGUAUAGAUGGAUCUGCGCUGUAUGAGCUAGUUGGGAAGUUAACGGCUUAUCAAGGCAACGAUGCAUAGCCGAACGGAGAGGGUGAUCGGCCACAUUGGAAGUGAGACAGCGACCAUACGCCUGAGGGAGGCAGCAGUAGGGAAUCGUCCGCAAUGGGGGAAAGUAUGACGGAGCAACGGCGCGUGAGUUACGAAGGCGCCCGGAGCGUAAAAACCUGCUACUAGGGAAGAACAGAUGUGUAAGUAAAUGUGCACAUAUUGACGGUACCUAAUAAGAAAGCAACGGCUAACUACGUG
rnacentral:rRNA from 1 species